GUGGGGAAUAUUGGACAAUGGGGGCAACCCUGAUCCAGCGACGCCGCGUGUGUGAAGAAGGCCUGCGGGUUGUAAAGCACUUUUAGUGGGGACAAAAAGCCGAGGGCUAAUACCUUUCGGUCUUGAUUUAACCCAAAGAAAAAGCACCGGCUAACUCUGUGCCAGCAGCCGCGGUAAUACAGAGGGUGCGAGCGUUAAUCGGAAUUACUGGGCGUAAAGCGUGCGUAGACGGUUAUGUAAGUCGGAUGUGAAAGCCCCGGGCUCAACCUGGGAAUUGCAUUCGAAACUGCAUGGCUAGGGUGCGGAAGAGGGAAGCGGAAUUUCUGGUGUAGCGGUGAAAUGCGUAGAUAUCAGAAGGAACAUCAGUGGCGAAAGCGGCUUCCUGGUCCAGCACCGACGUUCAGGCACGAAAGCGUGGGGAGCAAACAGGAUUAGAAACCCCAGUAGUCC
rnacentral:rRNA from 1 species